CCUACGGGAGGCAGCAGUGAGGAAUAUUGGUCAAUGGACGAGAGUCUGAACCAGCCAAGUAGCGUGAAGGAUGACUGCUCUAUGGGUUGUAAACUUCUUUUAUAAAGGAAUAAAACGAGGCACGUGUGCCUUUUUGCAUGUACUUUAUGAAUAAGGAUAGGCUAACUCCGUGCCAGCAGCCGCGGUAAUACGGAGGAUCCGAGCGUUAUCCGGAUUUAUUGGGUUUAAAGGGAGCGUAGAUGGGUUGUUAAGUCAGUUGUGAAAGUUUGCGGCUCAACGGUAAAAUUGCAAUUGAUACUGGCAGUCUUGAGUACAGUUGAGGUAGGCGGAAUUCGUGGUGUAGCGGUGAAAUGCUUAGAUAUCACGAAGAACCCCGAUGGCGAAGGCAGCUUACUAAACUGUGACUGACAUUGAUGCUCGAAAGUGUGGGUAGCAAACAGGAUUAGAUACCCGGGUAGUC
rnacentral:rRNA from 1 species